rnacentral:rRNA from 1 species
AAGACCUUGCGUUUUUGGAGCGGCCGAUGUCUGAUUAGCUAGUUGGUGGGGUAAUGGCCUACCAAGGCUUCGAUCAGUAGCUGGUCUGAGAGGACGGCCAGCCACACUGGGACUGAGACACGGCCCAGACUCCUACGGGAGGCAGCAGUGGGGAAUUUUGGACAAUGGGCGCAAGCCUGAUCCAGCCAUGCCGCGUGAGUGAAGAAGGCCUUCGGGUUGUAAAGCUCUUUCAGCCGAGAAGAAAAGAUUGCGACUAACAAUCGCAAUUCAUGACGGUACCGGCAGAAGAAGCACCGGCUAACUACGUGCCAGCAGCCGCGGUAAUACGUAGGGUGCGAGCGUUAAUCGGAAUUACUGGGCGUAAAGGGUGCGCAGGCGGUUUUGUAAGUCAGAUGUGAAAUCCCCGGGCUUAACCUGGGAACU